rnacentral:rRNA from 1 species
AUUAAAACGCUGGCGGCAUGCCUUACACAUGCAAGUCGAACGGUAGCGCGGGGCAACCUGGCGACGAGUGGCGAACGGGUGAGUAAAGCAUCGGAACGUGCCCUGGAAUGGGGGAUAACGUAGCGAAAGUUACGCUAAUACCGCAUAUUCUGUGAGCAGGAAAGCAGGGGAUCGCAAGACCCUGCGUUCUGGGAGCGGCCGAUGUCGGAUUAGCUAGUUGGUGGGGUAAAAGCCUACCAAGGCGACGAUCCGUAGCGGGUCUGAGAGGAUGAUCCGCCACACUGGGACUGAGACACGGCCCAGACUCCUACGGGAGGCAGCAGU